CAACCCACUCCAGUGUUCUUGCCUUGAGAAUCCCAGGGACAGGGAAGCCUGGUGGGCUGCCGUCUGUGGGGUUGCACAGAGUUGGACACGACUGAAGUGACUUAGCAGCAGCAGCAGGAUACUUUCUCUGCUGCUGUAGGGACCAAGAAAAUCAGCUUGACGUUGAUAUGGCCACAUCUAUCCUCAAGAGUGUAGACCCCCAGGUAGGUGCAUCAAUAAGCACUGUCCCCAGGUGCAGGCGGCAUGCUCCAUCCCUCUGCCUCAGUUCUGGCCAGUCCCACAGGACGGCUGGCUCCUGUGGCUGCAGCUCUUACGUCACAUUCCGUGACACCAGGGUCAUGUGACAGAGCCCCACCUUGUGCUGUUUCCUAAGGAUUUUAUACACGUGACUCAUGAGAACAUCGGGAAGAAGGCUGGGAAAUAGGGAAAUCUAUCUGGCAGAUGAGAGAGGUGAAGUGGUUUUUUUUGCCAGAAUCAUACCACGAGCAAAAGAUGUGGCCCAGCGUAAAUUGUUCUUUUGGUCCCUCUUCAGCUCUUGGUACACACAGUCAUUAAGGAAUUACACACACACUCUCUCUCUCUCUCUCUCUCUUUUUCUUGCAACUUCUCAUUUCCCAGCUUUUCUGAGGAGCCCUGUGUCUGUCUUCUGUGUCCUGGGUUCUGAAGGGUCCCGCACUCUCUCACCCAGUGGUCUGUGGGCACCAUCCUCGGUGGCUCUUCUUCCUUCCACCUCCUUCCUCAUUCCUGGGCUUGGCUGGUCUCACGGAGUGGGGACACGCCUGGCCUGGCACAGCCAAGUUUGGCCUGGUUACCCCAACUCCCCUUUGUGCCAUGGUCACAGCACACCCAUCAAAGACAGUCACUUAAAGGAUCAGGCACAUCUGAAAUUGCCUAGGCUUGGCUGAGGGGAGGAUUUGCAAAGCCCAGCUUCCCCUCGUUCCCCUCGGUAGCCCCGUUUAUCACUGUCUGAGAGACAUGAGUGUGGUUGCUUGUCACACACCUUCUGCAGGGUGAGAGGGACAGAGGUUUGUUUGUACAAGAGCUGCCAGGUGGCUGACUGACCUUGGUGAAAAGGGAGAUAAUUACACAGCUGUUCAAGAACAAAAGUGAAAAAGGGAAGCUAAGUGAACUGUGCUCAACAGUACAAUUUUUCUGUUUGGGGGGAUGACUGGUGUUACUUUGAAUGCUGCUCUUGGUCACUAAGGACCUCAACGUGCCUCUGGUCCUACACAGCAUCUUGUAUAGUUAUGGUGUGGUGGAGGAUGCUUGAUACAUGUCCAAAAUUCUGAUCCUAUUAGGAACAUUCUAGAAGGGUAAUUGGACCUUGAGCCUUAGACGAUAACCUCACGGCUCCUAUAACAGAAGGGCAAGAUGCAUGGGUCAGACCCCCCACUGGAGCCAUCUAGGGACGGCCUAGAUGGAAGACCUUCGGCCUCUCUCAGGAUAACACGAAAUAAGGCAAGGGCCUCUUGAAAAACAAAACACACUGAAACUCAGAGGAGCAGCCCACAGCAAGGCUUCCUUUCAAAGCUGGAGGAAUUAUGUGUCAACGGUGGUCAAAGACGCCUCAGGCUCUUCUGUAGUCUUGGGAAGUGCUGGCCAGUGACUUUCUUGCUGGAGGACGAGACCUGAGACUCGUUCACAGACACCAGGCCCUGAAGAACUGUUUGCGAAUCACAUGAAGCCCACGAUACGCUGUCAAUACAGUCAACCCUGAGGGGAGUUUCCUCUCAAAAUAUAGAAUUGUGUUGGAUCUUCUUCCCUCCCUCCAGUAUCCAAACAAACCAAAACAAGCAACAAAAAACCAAACAAAAACCUACUCCUCCUCUCACCCAGGUAACAACAGCUCAAGAAGGUUGAGUUAGUAGCGCUAAACUAACAAUAGAGUUGCCAUAUGAUCAAAUAGGAAAAGGAGUACGUCAAGGCUGUAUAUUGUCACCCUGCUUAUUUAACUUAUAUGCAGAGUACAUCAUGAGAAACGCUGGACUGGAAGAAGCACAAGCU